UAGAGUAUUAUUUCAAUAUAA
rnacentral:piRNA from 1 species